rnacentral:tRNA from 1 species
GGUGAUAUAGCUUAGUGGUAGAUUGCCUGCUGAGCAUGCAUGAGGCCCUGGGUUUGAUCCUCAGUACUGCCA